rnacentral:rRNA from 1 species
UACAGAGGUGGCGAGCGUUGUUCGGAUUUACUGGGCGUAAAGGGUGCGUAGGUGGCAUCGUAUGUCGGACGUGAAAGCCCAUGGCUCAACCAUGGAAUUGCGUCCGAAACUGCGGAGCUAGAGUACAGGAAGGGAGAGCGGAAUUCUUGGUGUAGCGGUGAAAUGCGUUGAUAUCAAGAAGAACACCGGUGGCGAAGGCGGCUCUCUGGAAUGUUACUGACGCUGAGGCACGAAAGUUGGGGGAGCAAACAGG